rnacentral:rRNA from 1 species
ACAACGAAGAGUUUGAUCCUGGCUCAGGAUGAACGCUAGCGACAGGCCUAACACAUGCAAGUCGAGGGGCAGCAUGGCGGAAGCUUGCUUCCGUUGAUGGCGACCGGCGCACGGGUGAGUAACGCGUAUGCAACCUGUCCCUUUCCGGGGGAUAACCCGGAGAAAUCCGGCCUAACACCGUAUGUAUCACGUGACCGCAUGGUGAUGUGAUGAAAAGCGAUGGGAAGGGGUGGGCAUGCGUAUGAUUAGCUGGUCGGCGGGGUAACGGCCCACCGAGGCGACGAUCAUUAGGGGUUCUGAGAGGAAGGUCCCCCACACUGGUACUGAGACACGGACCAGACUCCUACGGGAGGCAGCAGUGAGGAAUAUUGGUCAAUGGGCGGAAGCCUGAACCAGCCAAGUCGCGUGAAGGAAGACGGAUCUAUGGUUUGUAAACUUCUUUUGUGCGGGAAUAAAGGGGGCGACGUGUCGCCCUUUGCAUGUACCGCACGAAUAAGCAUCGGCUAACUCCGUGCCAGCAGCCGCGGUAAUACGGAAGAUGCGGGCGUUAUCCGGAUUUAUUGGGUUUAAAGGGAGCGUAGGCGGCCCUGUAAGUCAGCGGUGAAAUGGCGCGGCUCAACCGCGUCCUGCCGUUGAAACUGCGGGGCUUGAGUCUGCACAGGGCACAUGGAACUCGUGGUGUAGCGGUGAAAUGCUUAGAUAUCACGAAGAACCCCGAUCGCGAAGGCAUUGUGCCGGGGCAGUAC